UACGUAGGUGGCAAGCGUUGUCCGGAUUCACUGGGCGUAAAGCGCGCGCAGGCGGUCUUCUACGUCUGGGGUGAAAACCCGGGGCUCAACCCCGGGACUGCCUUGGAUACGGGAAGACUUGAGGAUCGGAGAGGCAAGGGGAAUUCCACGUGUAGCGGUGAAAUGCGUAGAGAUGUGGAGGAACACCUGUGGCGAAGGCGCCUUGCUGGCCGAUAUCUGACGCUGAGGCGCGAAAGCGUGGGGAGCAAACAGG
rnacentral:rRNA from 1 species